GAAGUAAAAGAGGAUGUGAAAGAUGAUGUGGUGGGCGAAGUAAAAGAGGAUAAGAAAGCUAAUGGGGCUGAUGAGGUAAAAGAGGAUAAGAAAGAUGAUGGACGGGAUGAUGAUAAGAAAGUUGACGUGGUAGAAGAAAUAAAAGAAGAUAAGAAAGAUGAUGGGGUGGAAGAAGUAAAAGAGGAUAAGAAAGAUGAUGCGGUGGAAGAAGUGAGAGAGGAUAAGAAAGAUGAAGGGGUGAAAGAAGUAAAAGAGGAUAAGAAAGAUGAUGGGGUGGAAGAAAGAAAAGAGGAGAAGAAAGAUGACGCGGCUGAUGAAGUAAAAGAGGAGAAGAAAGAUGAUGGUGUGGAAGAAGUAAAAGAGGAGAAGAAAGAUGAUGAGGCUGAUGAAGUAAAAGAGGAGAAGAAAGAUGAUGGUGUGGAAGAAGUAAAAGAGGAUAAGGAAGUUGACGGGGGAGAAGUAAAGGUGGAAAAGAAAGAUAAUGAAAUUGAAGGGGGAGAAGUAAAAGAGGACAUGGAAGUUGAUAGUGUGAAAGAAGCAGUGGAGGAUAAGAAAGAUGACGUACAAGAAAUAGAAGAGGAUGACAAAAAUGUUACUGAAUCUGAGAAUGAGAAAAUGGAUGUUGAUGACGAGGUUAAGGAAACUACAGAAGGUAAAGAA
rnacentral:lncRNA from 1 species